AGUCUGGUGCCAGCAGCCGCGGUAAUUCCAGCUCCAAUAGCGUAUAUUAAAGUUGUUGUGGUUAAAAAGCUCGUAGUUGGAUUUCGGCGGGUAGUGGUCGGUUUGAAUUGCUUCAACACUGGCUUUUUUUACCCGUGUGUUUUGCCAGAAUUUAACGGGUGAUCUUCGCCGAUUGUCCGUUAGAACUGGCAGGUUUACUUAGAAAAAAUUAGAGUGCUCAAAGCAAGCUUGAUUGCUUGAAUAUUCGUGCAUGGAAUAAUAGAAUAGGAAGUCGUUUCUAUUUUGUUGGUUUUCGGAAAUCGACUUAAUGAUUAAUAGGGAUAGUCGGGGGCAUUUGUAUUCAAACGACAGAGGUGAAAUUCUUGGACCGUUUGAAGACAAACUACUGCGAAAGCAUUUGCCAAGAAUGUUUUCAUUAAUCAAGAACGAAAGUUAGAGGUUCGAAGGCGAUUAGAUACCGCCCUAGUUCUAACCAUAAACGAUGCCAGCUAGCGAUCUGCCGGUGCUUGAUUUUCUGGCCCGGCAGGCAGCUUCCGGGAAACCAAAGCUUGUGGGUUCCAGGGGAAGUAUGGUUGCAAAGCUGAAACUUAAAGGAAUUGACGGAAGGGCACCACCAGGAGUGGAGCCUGUGGCUUAAUUUGACCCAACACGGGAAAUCUCACCAGGCCCGGACACCAGAAGGAUUGACAGAUUGAUAGCUCUUUCUUGAUUUGGUGGGUGGUGGUGCAUGGCCGUUCUUAGUUGGUGGAGUGAUUUGUCUGGUUAAUUCCGAUAACGAACGAGACUCUGUCCUGUUAAAUAGAUCCAACCUAGUUGUAGGGUUGGAAUGUCUUCUUAGAGGGACUGGUGAUUAUUAGUCACACGAGAUUGAGCAAUAACAGGUCUGUGAUGCCCUUAGAUGUUCUGGGCCGCACACGCGCUACACUGAAGUGAUCAGCUAGUUUUUCCCUCUCCGAGAGGAGCGGGUAAACUGUUGAACCCACUUCGUGGUAGGGAUCGGAGCUUGCAAUUAUUCUCCGUGAACCAGGAAUUCCCAGUAGGCGCAAGUCAUAAGCUUGCAUCGAUUACGUCCCUGCCCUUUGUACACACCGCCCGUCGCUACUACCGAUUGAGUGUUUUAGUGAGGACCUCGGAUUGCUUGCCUGGCGGUUAACGCUGCCUAGCUGGCGAAAAGACGUCCAAACUGUAGCACUUAGAGGAAGUAAAAGUC
rnacentral:rRNA from 1 species